UGGGGAAUCUUCCGCAAUGGACGAAAGUCUGACGGAGCAACGCCGCGUGUAUGAUGAAGGUCUUCGGAUUGUAAAGUACUGUCAUUGGGGAAGAACGGUUUUCUUGAAAAGAUUGAGAAGACAUGACGGUACCCAAGGAGGAAGCCCCGGCUAACUACGUGCCAGCAGCCGCGGUAAUACGUAGGGGGCAAGCGUUGUCCGGAAUUAUUGGGCGUAAAGGGCGCGUAGGCGGGCCUUUAAGUCCGGUGCGAAAGAUCAGGGCUCAACCCUGAGAGUGCAUCGGAAACUGGAGGCCUUGAGGACAGGAGAGGAAAGUGGAAUUCCACGUGUAGCGGUGAAAUGCGUAGAUAUGUGGAGGAACACCAGUGGCGAAGGCGACUUUCUGGACUGUAAGCUGACGCUGAGGCGCGAAAGCGUGGGGAGCAAACAGGAUUAGAUACCCUGGUAG
rnacentral:rRNA from 1 species